rnacentral:tRNA from 1 species
GAGCCCGUAGCUUAAUAGUAGAGCGUUCGACUCAAAUACCAAAGGUCAUGGGUUCGAAUUCCUUUUUGCCACA